rnacentral:rRNA from 1 species
GACGAACGCUGGCGGCGUGCUUAACACAUGCAAGUCGAACGGAAAGGCCCGGCGUUUGUGUGGUUCUCGUUUGGCGAACGGGUGAGUAACACGUGAGUAACCUGCCCUUGACAUUCUGAUAACUUCAGGAAACUGGGGCUAAUACCGGAUAUAAUCUCCUGCUGCGUGGGGUGGGUUGGAGAGUUUCGGCGGUUGGGGAUGGACUCGCGGCUUAUGAGCUGGUUUGUGGGGUAGUUGCUUACCAAGGCUUUGAAGGGUAGCCUGCCUGAGAGGGUGACCGGCGACAUUGGGACUGAGAUACGGACCAGAAUCCUACGGGAGGCAGCAGUGGGGAAUAUUGCAGAAUGGGCGGAAGCGUGAUGCAGCAAUGCCGCGUGCGGGAUGACGGCUUUCGAGUUAUAAACAGCUUUCGAAUGUGCCGAAGAGAGAGUGACGGUAAUGGGUCAAGAAGCAACGGCUAACUACGUG